CGCAGGUUAAGAUCCUCCCUGGGCUCCGCGUUCGGCUCCAGUCCUUUCCACGAUCUUCUGUGAGCUCCUGGGACAUACUGCAGACAACUUCAGCUCAACAAGGAUGGUAUGGCAUCCGGCUGAGUGAAGCCUCCUCUGGAUAACUCGCUUGCGUGAUAAAGGUCCAGACUGACACCAAAUGACGGCUUUCCAAAUUCAUACCUUUGCCUUCCUCCCAGGACUGCAACACUGUCAGAUGUGUUCAUGUCCAUUAUUCUGCAGUAGCCAACUCUCUUCACUGUGGAUCUCCAAGUGGACCUCAUCAAUAUGGGAGGAAAACUUCUAUCGACAUUCUGGAUAGCAUAAUUCUGAGGCUUUGGGCCUUCUGAGAGAGCUACCUCACGGAGACACAGCAGGAGGUUGCAAAGGACACAGUUCCAGUGAGACCACUCGUUUCAAAUUAUCUCUAUGGUCAGUUCUAUAGGGAUCGCCCAGCUUCUGUUUCUCACUGCAGUCUUUCAGAAAAUGUUGAAAAAUCAGAUUGCUUUAGUGCAGCUGUAUUUAUAUCAGUCAAGAAAAAUUGGCUUUUGUGAGCUAAAAAUUACCAUGAUUUAGAUGUGUGUAUGUGGAUAAACAUAUGAAAAAUAUGUAUAUAUGCUUUUGUGGAUUGAUUUUGAAUAUCUAUAGCUAUAUAUUAUUGGGUUGGUGAUUCUACAUUAAAAGACCCAAAAAGAGGAACAUGGGAUGUACUCACUCAUAUUUGGUUUCUAGACAUAAACAAAGGACAUUGAGCUUAUAAUUAGUGAUCCUAGAGAAGCUAAAUAAGGAGAACCCAAAGAAAAACCUUCAUCAGGCGAUGAAAGGAGACAGAGACAGAGUCCCACAUUGGAGCACCGGACAGAAAUCUCAAGGUCCAAAUCAGGAGCAGAAGGAGAGAGAGCACGAGCAAGGAACUCAGGACCGCGAGGGGUGCACCCACACACUGAGACAAUGGGGAUGUUCUAUCGGGAACUCACCAAGGCCAGCUGGCCUGGGUCUGAAAAAGCCUGGGUUAAAACCGGUCUCGCUGAACAUAGUGGGCAAUGAGGACUACUGAGAACUCAAGAACAAUGGCAAUGGGUUUUUGAUCCUACUGCACGUACUGGCUUUGUGGGAGCCUAGGCAGUUUGGAUGCUCACCUUACUAGGCCUGGAUGGAGGUGGGUGGUCCUUGGACUUCCCACAGGGCAGGGAAACUUGAUUGCUCUUUGGGCUAA